rnacentral:rRNA from 1 species
GAUGAACGCUGGCGGCGUGCCUAAUACAUGCAAGUCGAGCGAACGGACGAGAAGCUUGCUUCUCUGAUGUUAGCGGCGGACGGGUGAGUAACACGUGGAUAACCUACCUAUAAGACUGGGAUAACUUCGGGAAACCGGAGCUAAUACCGGAUAAUAUUUUGAACCGCAUGGUUCAAAAGUAAAAGACGGUCUUGCUGUCACUUAUAGAUGGAUCCGCGCUGCAUUAGCUAGUUGGUAAGGUAACGGCUUACCAAGGCAACGAUGCAUAGCCGACCUGAGAGGGUGAUCGGCCACACUGGAAGUGAGACACGGUCCAUACUCCUACGGGAGGCAGCAGUAGGGAAUCUUCCGCAAUGGGCGAAAGCCUGACGGAGCAACGGCGCGUGAGUGAUGAAGGUCUUCGGAUCGUAAAACUCUGUUAUUAGGGAAGAACAUAUGUGUAAGUAACUGUGCACAUCUUGACGGUACCUAAUCAGAAAGCCACGGCUAACUACGUG